UCAGGAUGAACGCUAGCGACAGGCCUAACACAUGCAAGUCGAGGGGCAGCACAAGGAGUAAUCUGAGGUGGCGACCGGCGCACGGGUGAGUAACACGUAUGCAACCUGGCUGUAAGAGGGGGAAUAACCCGGAGAAAUCCGGACUAAUACCGCAUAAUACUUAGAAUCCGCAUGGAUUUUAAGUUAAACAUUUAUGGCUUACAGAUGGGCAUGCGUAUGAUUAGCUGGUUGGAGAGGUAACGGCUCCCCAAGGCAACGAUCAUUAGGGGUUCUGAGAGGAAGGUCCCCCACACUGGUACUGAGACACGGACCAGACUCCUACGGGAGGCAGCAGUGAGGAAUAUUGGUCAAUGGACGAGAGUCUGAACCAGCCAAGUCGCGUGCAGGAAGAAUGUUCCCUAUGGAUUGUAAACUGCUUUUGCAGGGGAAUAAAGUGCAUCACGUGUGAUGUUUUGUAUGUACUCUGCGAAUAAGGAUCGGCUAACUCCGUGCCAGCAGCGGC
rnacentral:rRNA from 1 species